UGCGGGGAUGUGCCCUGGUGGGCACAGCGGUUUCAUACGCCGCUUCUAAGAAGGCGGGUUCGAUUCCCGUCCCCGCGA
rnacentral:sRNA from 1 species